rnacentral:rRNA from 1 species
AUUGAACGCUGGCGGCAGGCCUAACACAUGCAAGUCGAGCGGUAACACAGGGAGCUUGCUCCCGGGUGACGAGCGGCGGACGGGUGAGUAAUGUCUGGGAAACUGCCUGAUGGAGGGGGAUAACUACUGGAAACGGUAGCUAAUACCGCAUAAUGUCACAAGACCAAAGAGGGGGACCUUCGGGCCUCUUGCCAUCAGAUGUGCCCAGAUGGGAUUAGCUAGUAGGUGGGGUAACGGCUCACCUAGGCGACGAUCCCUAGCUGGUCUGAGAGGAUGACCAGCCACACUGGAACUGAGACACGGUCCAGACUCCUACGGGAGGCAGCAGUGGGGAAUAUUGCACAAUGGGCGCAAGCCUGAUGCAGCCAUGCCGCGUGUAUGAAGAAGGCCUUCGGGUUGUAAAGUAUUUUCAGCGGGGAGGAAGGUGUUGAGGUUAAUAACCUCAGCAAUUGACGUUACCCGCAGAAGAAGCACCGGCUAACUCCGUGCCAGCCGCCGCCGUAA